rnacentral:rRNA from 1 species
GACGGAGGGGGCUAGCGUUGUUCGGAAUUACUGGGCGUAAAGGGCGCGUAGGCGGAUUAGUAAGUUGGGAGUGAAAGCCCGGGGCUUAACCUCGGAACUGCUUUCAAAACUGCUAGUCUUGAGUGAAGUAGGGGAUGAUGGAAUUCCUAGUGUAGAGGUGAAAUUCUUAGAUAUUGGGAAGAACACCAGUGGCGAAGGCGGCUCACUGGCCCGUAACUGACGCUGAGGUGCGAAAGCGUGGGGAGCAAACAGG